rnacentral:rRNA from 1 species
AGAGUUUGAUCCUGGCUCAGAAUCAACGCUGGCGGCGUGCCUAACACAUGCAAGUCGAACGCGAAAGUCCCGCAAGGGAUCAGUAGAGUGGCAAACGGGUGAGUAACACGUGGGUGACCUGCCUUCGAGCGGGGGAUAACGUCCCGAAAGGGACGCUAAUACCGCAUGACAUCCUGCCUUUGAAGAGGCGGAGAUCAAAGCUGGGGAUCGCAAGACCUAGCACUUGAAGAGGGGCCCGCGUCCGAUUAGCUAGUUGGUGGGGUAACGGCUCACCAAGGCAACGAUCGGUAGCCGGCCUGAGAGGGCGGACGGCCACACUGGGACUGAGACACGGCCCAGACUCCUACGGGAGGCAGCAGUGGGGAAUUGUUCGCAAUGGGCGCAAGCCUGACGACGCAACGCCGCGUGGAGGAUGAAGAUCUUCGGGUCGUAAACUCCUUUCGAUCGAGACGAACGGCUUCCGGGUGAACAAUCCGGGAGAGUGACGGUACCGAGAGAAGAAGCCCCGGCUAACUCCGUGCCAGCAGCCGCGGUAAUACGGGGGGGGCAAGCGUUGUUCGGAAUUACUGGGCGUAAAGGGCUCGUAGGCGGCCAACUAAGUCAGACGUGAAAUCCCUCGGCUUAACCGGGGAACUGCGUCUGAUACUGGAUGGCUUGAGGUUGGGAGAAGGAUGCGGAAUUCCAGGUGUAGCGGUGAAAUGCGUAGAUAUCUGGAGGAACACCGGUGGCGAAGGCGGCAUCCUGGACCAAUUCUGACGCUGAGGAGCGAAAGCCAGGGGAGCAAACGGGAUUAGAUACCCCGGUAGUCC